rnacentral:lncRNA from 1 species
CGUGCAAGACCGCUGCGUCCCCCAACGAAGCUUCUGUCAACCUUGAUAGUAGGAACCUGGCCAAAUGCGCCUGAGUGGGAAGCAACGGCCAUCCAAAAUAUAUGUAGACACAAUUAACCUCGAAAUGAAAACCAAUAACAAAGUGAUAAGUUGUAAAACCAACGUAGUAAUUGAUAGAAAGGAUAGAAUUAAGGACGUCGUUCCCGAAAUGACAAACAUGAAAAGCAACUUACAGUACCAGCUUGACGAGGUCACAUGCAGUCAGAUAUCCCCCUUUGUUUCUAUGUUUUUGACAUCACAUUUGUAUCCAUCAUCUAUUGUACAUGUCAUUGAUUCUUGACCUGCAAUCUGAAGUUAUCAGAAUGUUGCUGGGUGACAUAAAAUCCAUGUUGCCGAAGGACUGGUGUGCUAUGAACCUGUCGCAGGAAAAAUACAAACUAGUGGAAGUGCCUCCUCAAAGUUCCGAAUAUCUUCACAUCCGACAGCAAAUAUUUAGCAGUGAUAAUUCUUGUAAAUCAUCAAUCUUCAAGUUGCAGAACCCACUUUUAUAUAUGAAGUUUCGUUUGAAAGCCCAUGAAUUUGCACAAAGAGGCUUCUUUGAAAUAAAAACAUUAUUUCACGAUACCUCUAGGCACAAUGAGAAAUGUAUUGUAAACUUCAACUUUGAUUGGAAAUAUGGUGAAAGAUUCAUGUAUGGACCUGGCGUUCCUUUUUAUCUAACUCCAUAUGAUGCUCGUAAAUAUUCUCCAAAAAAUAAUGGACAACCAAGAACAAUGUUUCUAGCACAUGUUCUGGUUCAGAAGGUCCAAGUUGCAGGUGGGAGAAUUUUUCUUCCUGAUUUUGGUUAUGAUACAGUUUUGUGUGACGGAGGUGUUACAUACGUAAAAUAUCUUGACUGCGAAUACUAUCCUCAAUAUUUGAUUCGUUAUGAGACUUGAGAAGUUUUCUGUUACCACAAUUCAAGUAUCCGUUGAACAAUGUAUACUUACAUAUUAUUUCAUUUACUUAUGUACCAUACACAAAAUAUGGUUCAAGUGAGAUCAAAUUAACUUGAAAUACUUAGAACUCUCGUUAAUAUAAUCCAUUUCAUAUGUUUCACAUCAUUUGUUUGUCAUAAACGAACACAAAUUUCAAAGUAAUAUAUAAAAAUAUUUCGACAUUUAGAUACAUGGUAAAAACAUUCAACUUUGGAUAACAAUUAAAACCACUGAAUAUUAAACAUAUACAAUGCUCAUAUAAAAACAAAUAUUAUUCAAAAUAAUCCAUUUCAAAUAUUUCACAUCAUUUGUUUGUCAUAAACUAACAUAAAAUUUUCAUAUGCUUUCAUCACUCAGCGGAGUGAUGACAUGGGUUGAGGGGAGUUUGUAAUAAACCUAACAUCUUUCAACAAACUACAACUAAUAUACUUCAGUGCAUCUCUUAUAUCCACUUGUUUGUCAAUGACUUUCUUCUAUCUUGAAAUUUUUGGCUGAGCCAAUCAAAACUGAUUUAUUUUUAGAUUUUCAGGCAAUCGAAGAAACCUGACUUUUAUUAACAAUAUGUACUCUCAUGUUAUUCAUUAAAAUGAUUGCAUUGUUAUGGCCUUGCAUUAUUUUUAGUUUUGUUUUAAAAUCAUCAUUGGAGAAACACUUCAGUAAUGAUUCCUGAAAAAUAUAUUGGAUUGCAUAUUGAAGUAUAUCCCAAACAUUUUUUUUAACUGCAGUUCUUGAUAUUUUCUAGUAUACAUAUUUUGCAAUAUGAUGACACUACUUUUAUUCACCAAAAACUGCAACAAUCUUCUUAACGAACGUUUUGCCAACUGAAUUGGCAUCAUCAGAGUAUAAAACUUAUACUCAACUCAUUUAUACAACUAUUAAUGCGAGACCAAUAAUAGUCUUGUAUUCUUUCAAUGCCAGAGAUUCCAGUUCGUCUUUCAAAUAUUUUGGUUUUGAGUCUCUACAUAGUCUUUGAAAUAUUAUCAACAACAUCAAUAUGAAUUAAAUUACUUCACUGUGCGUUGUGGUGGAAGUUUUGAUAUGUACAUAUGUAUAUACCUAGUUUAAUGCACAUGUAAUUUUAGGAGGUUCUGUUCCAGAAAUAAAUGUGAUAUAAGUACAGAUGGCGCAAAAAAUGGUAUUAUAUGAUAGCGAUAAU